CCGAUUUUGUAUGAAUCCAAAACAAAACCAACUCUUGACGCUAACACGGCAUUAGCAGCAGCAGGGUUAAGCUGGUAUUUAGUUUCCUUGUUGUUGUUGAUGUUUGUUGUUGCUGAAAGCAAGUCCCACCGUACCAAAUGUCUUGUAAACAGUCUCUCAUAUUAAAAGUGGGGACCAAUGUAGACGUUGUGUGGGACUUGGUGACUUGGUCAUUGUACCAUUUCACGAAGCUACCUGAUAAAAUGCACUGUCGUAAGUGCCCAGGUAGACUGACUAUAUAAAGUGUUGUAAACGGGGAUUAUUAUGUGGUUGGGUGAGAGACCCAAUUAAAGAAUUGUUCGCCACAACCCAAAGUCAACAUAAUGUUCAGUUUUAUCUGGGCCAAGUAGUGAUAAAGUAGGGGCUAACAUUUUAUAAUUCACAUGAUCACACGUUUACUGACUCUUUUGUCAGCCUGUGUGAGUUGUGAAAAGCAAAACUAUGUGAAAGUGUUAAAACCACUUAUAAAAAUAUAAAGAGAAUAAAAAAUUU
rnacentral:misc_RNA from 1 species